GGUGAACGCUGGCGGCGUGCUUAAGACAUGCAAGUCGAACGGCAGUCUUCGGACUGUAGUGGCGCACGGGUGAGUAACGCGUAACUGACCUACCCCAAAGUCGCGGAUAACGAUUCGAAAGAAUCGCUAAUACGUGAUGUGCUGUCAGAUUGUGUUCUGCCAGUAAAGAUUGAUUGCUUUGGGAUGGGGUUGCGUUCCAUCAGCUAGUUGGUGGGGUAAAGUCCCACCCAGGCGACGACGGAUAGCCGGCCUGAGAGGGUGGCCGGCCACAGGGGCACUGAGGCACGGGUCCCACUACUACGGGAGGGAGCAGUUAGGAAUCUUCCACAAGGGGCGAAAGCCUGAUGGAGCGAAGCCGCGUGAGGGAUGAAGGUGUUCGGAUCGUAAACCUCUGAAUCAGGGACGAAAGACACUUCGGUGGGAUGACGGUACCUGAGUAGUAGCACCGGCUAAGUCCGUGCCAGCCGCCGCGGUAA
rnacentral:rRNA from 1 species